rnacentral:lncRNA from 1 species
AAAAGUUUUAUUGAAACAUGGCCCUGUGUCAUUUGUUUUCAUGUUGUCAGUACCUGCUUUAGUUGACAGUCCAGUGGGCUUGGGUUUUUUUGUUUGUUUGUUUGAUUGAUUGAUAAGUUUUAUAGGAGUAUUGUGUGUGUGUGUGUUUGUUUGUUUGUUUGUUUGUUUGUUUGUUGAGACAGAGUAGCCUAGACUGGCCUUGAACUCACUAUGUAGCUGAGGGUGGCCUUGAACUCAUGAUCCUCCUGGCUCUAACUUUCAAGUGGUGAUAUUACAAGUGCGUACGUAUAGGAUUUCAGAUGUUCAACACCAUGCUCAGCUUUCUGCUGGGGUGCUGAGGAUCUGACCUCAGGUUCUCAUGCUUCCGUACUGAGCCCAUCCACACUUUGUUCUGUACCUUCCACAGGAGCAGAGGAAUGGGAGAAAGCCAGAAAUCCAUUGAAAGAUACUUUUAAUCCACUUAGGAAUACUUACGUAAAUACAUCUUGAAAACUUAAACUGGAAAUAAGCUUACACCAGAAUGAAACCAGUAGGCUGUGCAGGGGCUGGCUGUGGUCAGGACUCAGCAGGUGAAGGUGCCUGCUGCCCAGCCUGAUGAUCCGAGUCCACUUUCUGGAAUCUCCAUGGUUGACUGCCUCCAAGAGUUCCUUCUACAGCUGGAAUGCAAGAUCCUGAGUGGAGUCCAGGUGGUGGGUCUGGGAGCCUCCAGAGAGUCAUGGCCAGUCAGGAUGGCUGCCGUCCCCGUGCUUCUGGAGAGGGGCUUAGCCAAGAGGAAGCCACCCCAAAGGCUGAUCUCCUGACAGUUGAGCCGGUCCCCUGACAUGUGGCAUGCUGCAGAGCCUCGGAGGAAAGAGACAGCAACACUGACGAAUGAGGUCAGCGGGACCUGCUGAGUACCCAGUGGAUGUGGAGAACAGUGGAGGCAGAGUGCCCGCUCAGAUUACAUGAUUAACUCUCUCGGUCACCAGUGCCUAGCAUCCAGGCUGGGCCCCAAGGAUGCAGAGGCCAGUAGGACCCAGAGACCUCCUGGCCGGAGAGAAUGGCAGGCCCGUAGCUGGGGGUUGGAUGCCAUCCGAUAGGUGUUUGGGGAAUAUUCUGGAGGGCAAAGGGCACUGAUGCCAGUGGAUAAAAGGGCUCUUGGUUACAAGAACCAGCACUGGGUUAGAUGAAUGCUACCUGUCCCAGUUGCGGUUCCUAUUGCUAGGGUGAAGCACCGUGACCAAAAGCAAGUUGGGGAGGGAACCGUUUGUUGGCCUUACACUUCCUCAUCCAUAAUCCAUCAUUGAGGGAAGUCAGGACAGAAACUCAAGCAGGGCAGGAUCCUGGAGACAGAGGCUGAUGCAGAGGCCAUGGAGGGGUGCUGUUUACUGGGUUGCUUCCCAUGGCUUGCUCAGUCUGCUUUCUUAUAGGAUCCAGGACCACCAGAUCAAAUAUGCCACCACCCAAUGGGCUGGGCCCUCACCCACCAAUCAAUCACUAAGGAAAUGCUCUAUACAUUUGCUUACAG